UAACCUGCCCAAGAGAUCGGGAUAACACCUGGAAACAGAUGCUAAUACCGGAUAACAACAGAUGAUGCCUAUCAACUGUUUAAAAGAUGGUUCUGCUAUCACUCUUGGAUGGACCUGUGGUGCAUUAGCUAGUUGGUAGGGUAACGGCCUACCAAGGCGAUGAUGCAUAGCCGAGUUGAGAGACUGAUCGGCCACAUUGGGACUGAGACACGGCCCAAACUCCUACGGGAGGCAGCAGUG
rnacentral:rRNA from 1 species